GGGCAGAGAGCUCAGUGGUAGAGUGUCUGCUUAGCAUGCACGAGGUCCUGGGUUCAAUCCCCAGUACCUCCA
rnacentral:tRNA from 1 species